CUUCAAGAUCUUCAAGAUUUCUUUCAACAUGGUUUCAACGAGUUUUGAUUCGCGUCCUUGCCUGCCGGCAUCGCGUGGACCAUAUUAAACUUUGGCUGCAACGCAGAAUGGAGUACACCUCAGCUUUCGUUCCUUGUCUUUGGCGUCCCUGGAGCUGUACGAUUCGCUCGUGUCAGUGCAAGGCAGGCUGCAAUCCUGCCGGCAGUGCACCUAUGCGACGAAGAAGAAGAACCACAUGCGAGCACACCUUCGUAAACAUACGGGCGAGCGCCCCUUCCAGUGCCACUUGUGUCCAGCUGUGUUCGCUCAGAACAAUACCCUCACAAAGCACAUUCACACUCACACAGGCGAGCGUCCCUAUUUGUGUUCCCACUGCAAUUCGUCCUUUUCGCGAGAAGACUACCUCGUCCUCCACAUGCGCACCCACACAGGAGAGCGUCCCUUUUCCUGUGUCGACUUCAAUGCAUUCUUUUCACAGAAAGGCAGCCUUCUUCGCCACAUCGCAUGUCGUCAUGUAAAGAAGAAGCUCUAAAGGUCAGGGGCACAAAGGCUUUUUUUCUGGAGCUCAGUGUUUUUGAUGGUGCAGGGUUCCUCAUCUUUGGAGUCUCCGGAGCAGUACCAUUCACUCGUGUUCAUCCAAGGCGGACUGCAUUCCUACGACUGUGCCCUUAUGUGACCAAGAACAAAGGGCUCGUGAGCGCAUACCUUUGCAUACACACAGGCAAACGCCCUUUCAAGUGCCACCUCUAUCCGGCUGCAUUCACUCAGGACUUGGUCUCAGAAAGCACAUUUGCAGCCGCACAGGAGAGCAUCCCCUUUCCUGUGUCCACUGCAAUGCAUCCUCUUUGCAGAGAAACCACUUAGCGAAUCACAUGCUUAUCAGACAGGAGAGUGUCCCUUCUCCCGUUUCAAUUGCAGUCUGUCCUUUUUGCAAAAAUGCAACCUGAUUCACCACGUCUCACGUCGUCAUCUUAGAAGCCCUGAAGGUCAACGAUGAGUGCUGAGGUUUUUCUCUGGGGCUCACUUUAUUGGUUUAUUCAUAUUGGUGAAGGUAACUUCUAGAGUGGCUCGAAAAUUUUUUAGAUACCUCAGCUAUUGAGUUACUUACACUACAUUGCAGAGAGAAGUCUGUGAUCAUUCAUAAGAACUUCCUAAGUGCCUUUGGGUGACCUUACCGAUAUGCCAAGAUGUCGAAAGUAUGGCUUGCCUCGAAUGUGGAUUACAUAAACCUGACUUUCUUUGAGUGUGUGUAUGCGUAUCCGAAGAAGGCUGGACCACCAGCUGAAACUGUUAGGAGGAAAUAAAUAUUUUUUGUUUUCUAUAUUGCCCAGAAGAAGCUCUCAUUAUUCAUAUAUAUAUAUAUAUAUAUAUAUGCAUAUAAUUGUAGUUUGAAGAGUGUUGCGAGAGCACUUGACCAUCCUGUACACACAGCACUGUAGUGGUUAACAGGAAACAAAAAAAAAAAAAACCCACCAAACCAUAGGCGUGCGCACAUGAGGGGCGGCCGCCCCCCCUAUUCACCUAAGGGGGGGUGCAAAUCUGCCCUAUACAUUGACUUAGUAGGGUGGGGGGGCACUGCGAUGAACCUUUGCCCCCCUGAUGGGCAACCCUGCACAUGCCUAUGCAUCAAACUACAGUGCUCUUUACAUUGCAAACACUGCAACAAGCAUGUUUUUGUGUAUUUUAUUGUGCACUUAGGUAGUGAAAACAGACAUCACUUGUGCAUUAACUUAUAAAAGAGUACAAAAGUGAAUGAGCUUGCGAUAAUGGUGCAUCACUUGGUGAAAUAACGCGAAAAAAGUUUUCAGUGUUAAAUGCAUUUAGUAAUUCACAAAGUCAGGCGUUUGUCUUUGAUUGCUGGUGACGCAUAUUAUUAUUGCAUUUCAAUUGUAAAAGCAACAUGGAGAUCAUAAAAAGGACACAACACGAGCACACGUGUUGUGCGCCUUCUUCUUGGUCCCAUUGUUGCCUCUGUGAUAAAGACAUGAUAAUAGUGCAGGUAGCAAGAAUGGUAGCAUUUGUUCUUGGUAAUUAAAAUUACACCUCGUUAACUGCCAGUCAUUGGGACUGUAUGUGCUUUAUUUUGUGUUAUUAGCUUACAGUCUGACUAGUAUGUGUUUCUGACACACCAUUUUUAUUAUGAUCUAGCCCAAGUGCCACGACGGGAAUGCGUACACAAAGCGAGCGUCAUCGCUUUCUUCAGCCAGCGUCAAUUUACAACCACCAGCUACGAGAGAUCUCACCAAGGACACUGCCAGUGCCGCUCAUAUCGAGCAGAUGCGAAAAGUAUGGAUGAUCCUAGAACUCCCAACAUGAUGCCACUGCAUCAGUAGUGCAAGCAUGCCAGGCACCUCGUUGAAGCUGCGAGAAGGACCUUGCACUUUCCCAGGCUUCUCUUGCACUGUAAACCAAUGACUCGAAUCUAAAGCUCUCAAACCUAGGUGGGAGCCUGUAAACUGUGCAGAGGCUAAGGGAACAAUUGGCCAGACAUUCAGAAUAGCCAGGUAACCAGCCCCACUGUGGAAUUCGAGAAUCCCCAUCCCAGCACUACCGUCAACGAGUGUUAUCAAGGAUUACUUCAAGAUAAUGCCAUGGACUGCUGAGUGAGAACAUGCACUGGUGAAUGUGAAGGGACAAUAAAGUUCUUGAAUUUUCUCUUGUGGAUGUGGUUGUAUUUGAGCUCUAGUUGAUCAUUGUUAACCCUUGUAAUAUUUAUCUUGAUGUGACCAGCCCAUUGUGCAUGUUUCAUGGCAGUGCUUAUGCUUCAAUGAUCAGUGUAAUGUAACCACGCCUGUGCCUGUAAGCAUUGUUUCAGGCUAGGGGAGUUGGUAAUCCAUGCUCUUGUAUUUGCAUGUCCGAUAGUACAUGUUCAUGAAAGUUUAGGUGGGAGAAACGAUCAUGUAGAUGAGUUACUACAACCUUCUGCCACAUGGCCUUUUUCACUUGCACUGCAUUAUUUUAACAAUCAUCUUGAAGUAAGCUCACAGUGGAAAUGUCGCAUCACUAUGCAUUUUUCCUGUGAACCUUCGUGCUUGUUUUUUUUGCGUGGUGCUUUCACAUUGGCACAACCUCAAAUAACAUUGGGCAACUAACUCCAUUUAUUUUCAUUCCUUUAGUGCCAUUAACUGAAAAACAAUUUUUGCUUAGUGUACUUAAAUGUGGCUGUGUUCUAUGCCACCAUCAAAUGUGGUGCCAUUCUCACUUUUUAUAAUUUUGUCUUUACGUUUUAUACCAUGUCUUGUUUAUCUUGUUUAUGUUCUUAUGCCUUUACGGGGUGCCCCAGCUAUCUUCAGGCAGAGUUUAAAAGUAUGCCGACACACUCGAUGACGAUGUAACCAAAUGCAUGUUGCUGACUGUUGCCUGGAGUAUGUCAGACUAUUUUUUUUGUGUUCUGAUUAAUUGCUUAAUUAGGCCACUUUAUUUAACUCACUUUUGAAGCGACGAAGCUGGGCAAAGAAUUCCAGUGAGAAUGUUGUAAUUGGUUUGCAAAAUGUCUGAUUAGCAGUUUCUAACUUUCUAUCUAUGAAGUAUUAGUGUUUUUCUGCUUACUACAGAUGCCCACAAAAUACAAAAAAUACCACGUGACAUGCCCGCUUGCCUGCCUAUGCAUGUCGUGAUUCUAGUGCUUCUAAUGUACACACGAACAGUGCUGUCCGUGUGUGCUUCUUCAAGUGUUUGGUCCUGUAUUCUGCGCUGUGCAAUUCCAUACGUUAUGAAUCAAGACCAACUAGCCCGACUUUCCGUUUUGUUGUCUGUAUAUACUGGUUGGUGCACCAUACGUGCUCAUGAUAAUGGUUUCAUGCUUAAAUUGCAUGUAUGUAUUUUUUAAGCUGAUCAAUGCAUUAUGCAGUGUAACAUAUUCGCAUUUCUGUGACCAUUAUGGGUCAUUAGUGUGGCUUUUCGGAUGUGGCUUCAAUAUAGUGCCAUCCUAUCCAUUCAGGGCUGGGAGUUAUACAUGGCGAUAUAUAUGACAGUAAAGUGGAAUGUCUGCUUGUUUGUGAUCGUGUGUGUGACUGAAACCUUGUCUCAUGAAUGAGUCUGUUUUAGUAUGCCACUCUUAGGUCUGUUGAUGCCUCAUGCCUCACAUGCCUCGUGUUCAGAUAUCAGUUGAUGCUUUUGCGGCAUUGCAUUGUAUGGAUACUUCUGUGCAAAACAGUGUAACAGCUUAAUUCGUUAGUGCUUAAUGUGCUGGUACAAUACAGAGAGAUUUGAUUAUUUACAUAUGGUAUCAAAAUUGCAACCAGAUUGGAGCUUGAUGUAUCGGCAACUGGUGUUCACAUGUAUUAAACACUGCAGUAUUUGUGUAUAGAGCAAUGGCAACUUGAAUGAGACGUAUAUGGGCUCGGUGCACUGUUAUCGACAGGUAAAGGUUAUGUAGUUCACUUAGAAGUUCAGAAGCCUUUGACUGGCCGGUGCUGUACUCUAGUUGCACGUAGCAUGUGACACAAGAUUCUUAUUGCCUUUCUCUACUCCUUGUGGCUUUGCAGGUUCCUUGUCUAUGGCAUCCCAGGAGCAGUACGAUUCACUUGUGUCAGUGGAAGGCAGACUGCGUUCCUGCCGGCUGUGCACCUAUGCAACCGUGAACAAGACACACAUGAAAGAACACCUUUACAAACACACAGGCGAGCGCCCCUCGAAGUGCCACAGGUGUCCAGCUGCAUUCACUUCGGACCGCGAUCUAAAAAAGCACAUUCGCAGCCACACAGGAGAGCGUCCCUUUUCCUGUGUCUACUGCAAUGCAUCCUUUUCACUAAAAGGCAACCUCAAGCAUCACAUGCGCACUCACACAGGAGAGCGUCCCU